ACCCCCCAGCACGCAGACCCCCGCUGGCGCCCCGCCCUGUCACUCGGUUUUCCCGAGCUGGCGCUUAACAGAUUCCAUCUGCUCUCCUGCUGAUCGCCUCAGUCAGUCCAGCUGGAAGCCCCAGGAGGGCAGAGGAGGGCAGGGGCCCACAGGCUCUCCCACCUGGCGCGGGGCACACCCAGGACCCGGGACAGUCUGCUCUGCAUUCUGGUUUGGGCCCUGAGCAGAGGGCGGUGACCCCACCCCCGGGAAGGGAGACUUAAAGCCAGCCACCAGGCACUAGGUUCAAACAAAUCAGUCGACUGAAAGGGGGCAGAAGAUGGAAAGAGACACUUCUCCAAAACGACACGCAAGGAACUGGCAAGCACACGAAGAGAUACAUGCUCGGCGUGGCGUCAAGACCACAGACA